AACGAACGCUGGCGGCAUGCCUAAUACAUGCAAGUCGAACGAGAUCUUCGGAUCUAGUGGCGCACGGGUGCGUAACGCGUGGGAAUCUACCCUUGGGUUCGGAAUAACAGUUAGAAAUGACUGCUAAUACCGGAUGAUGACGUAAGUCCAAAGAUUUAUCGCCCAAGGAUGAGCCCGCGUAAGAUUAGCUAGUUGGUGAGGUAAAGGCUCACCAAGGCUACGAUCUUUAGCUGGUCUGAGAGGAUGAUCAGCCACACUGGGACUGAGACACGGCCCAGACUCCUACGGGAGGCAGCAGUAGGGAAUAUUGGACAAUGGGCGAAAGCCUGAUCCAGCAAUGCCGCGUGAGUGAUGAAGGCCUUAGGGUUGUAAAGCUCUUAUCUGGGAAGAAACUCCUCUAUUCUUAGAGGCCUGACGGUACCAAAGGAAUAAGCACCGGCUAACUCCGUGCCAGCAGCCG
rnacentral:rRNA from 1 species